rnacentral:rRNA from 1 species
UACAGAGGUCUCAAGCGUUGUUCGGAUUCAUUGGGCGUAAAGGGUGCGUAGGCGGCGCGGUAAGUCGGGUGUGAAAGCCCGAGGCUCAACCUCGGAACUGCCUUCGAUACUGCGGGUCUCGAGUCCGGGAGAGGUGAGUGGAAUUCCUAGUGUAGAGGUGAAAUUCGUAGAUAUUAGGAAGAACACCAGUGGCGAAGGCGGCUCACUGGCCCGGUACUGACGCUGAGGCGCGAAAGCGUGGGGAGCAAACAGG